rnacentral:rRNA from 1 species
GACGAACGCUGGCGGCGUGCCUAAUACAUGCAAGUAGAACGCACAGUUUAUACCGUAGCUUGCUACACCAUAGACUGUGAGUUGCGAACGGGUGAGUAACGCGUAGGUAACCUGCCUGGUAGCGGGGGAUAACUAUUGGAAACGAUAGCUAAUACCGCAUAAUAUUAAUUAUUGCAUGAUAAUUAAUUGAAAGGUGCAAUUGCACCACUACCAGAUGGACCUGCGUUGUAUUAGCUAGUAGGUGAGGUAACGGCUCACCUAGGCGACGAUACAUAGCCGACCUGAGAGGGUGAUCGGCCACACUGGGACUGAGACACGGCCCAGACGCCUACGGGAGGAAGCAGUAGGGAAUCUUCGGCAAUGGACGAAAGUCUGACCGAGCAACGCCGCGUGAGUGAAGAAGGUUUUCGGAUCGUAAAGCUCUGUUGUAAGAGAAGAACGGGUGUGAGAGUGGAAAGUUCACACUGUGACGGUAUCUUACCAGAAAGGGACGGCUAACUACGUG